CAAGUCGCACGAGAAAGGGGAGCAAUCCCUGAGUAAAGUGGCGCACGGGUGAGUAACACGUGAAUCAUCUACCUCCGAGUGGGGAAUAACCUAGAGAAAUCUGGGCUAAUACCGCAUAACACUUACGAGUCAAAGCAGCAAUGCGCUUGGAGAGGAGUUCGCGGCCGAUUAGCUAGUUGGCGGGGUAAUGGCCCACCAAGGCGAUGAUCGGUAUCCGGCCUGAGAGGGCGCACGGACACACUGGAACUGAAACACGGUCCAGACUCCUACGGGAGGCAGCAGUGGGGAAUUUUGCGCAAUGGGGGAAACCCUGACGCAGCAACGCCGCGUGGAGGAUGAAAUAUCUUGGUAUGUAAACUCCUUUCGAUGGGGAAGAUUAUGACGGUACCCAUAGAAGAAGCCCCGGCUAACUUCGUGCCAGCAGCCGCGGUAAUACGAGGGGGGCAAGCGUUGUUCGGAUUUAUUGGGCGUAAAGGGUGCGUAGGCGGUUUGGCAAGUCUUAUGUGAAAUCUUCGGGCUCAACCCGAAGCCUGCAUAAGAAACUGCCGGGCUUGAGUAUGGGAGAGGUGAGUGGAAUUUCCGGUGUAGCGGUGAAAUGCGUAGAUAUCGGAAGGAACACCUGUGGCGAAAGCGGCUCACUGGACCAUAACUGACGCUGAUGCACGAAAGCUAGGGGAGCAAACAGGAUUAGAUACCCUGGUAGUCCUAGCCCUAAACGAUGAUUGCUUGAUGUGGCAGGUACCCAAUCCUGCCGUGUCGAAGCUAACGCGAUAAGCAAUCCGCCUGGGGAGUACGGUCGCAAGGCUGAAACUCAAAGGAAUUGACGGGGGCCCGCACAAGCGGUGGAGCAUGUGGUUUAAUU
rnacentral:rRNA from 1 species